AGGAUAGAGAGGAAAAUCAAUCAAAUCUUUUCAAAACUAAACCUCCAUUGAAAUCGCUCCUCUUAUCUGGCAUCUUCAUCAAUCUUGAAAACUUCAAUUCAACCACAAUUUCUACUAUUCAAACAUUAGCAAACCCGGCAUUGAAGAAAAUGAUGUUGAUUAUAAAUUGUGGGGAGUGAUUCUCAUUCCAAUGAGAAAGAAGAAGUUUGAAAGAUUAAAAAGAAAGGUAAAUGAAGAAAAAUGCUCAAGAACCUCUAUGAAAAAAGAAAAAUGUCCUAUUCUAAUGGAAAAUCCUCAUCGAAGAAGGAAUGGAAAUACAUUAUUCUCGAAGACAGUCGAUUAUCAGAAAAUUUACUACAAGCUCUAACAAAAAGGAGAUAUUAAAUGACACAUUGAUUUUGUAUGACUAGAUUAUUUUUCAAUGAAGUUUCAUGUAGAAUUACUAUAAGUAUUUUGU